UACGAAGGGGGCUAGCGUUGUUCGGAAUCACUGGGCGUAAAGGGCGCGUAGGCGGACUCUUAAGUCGGGGGUGAAAGCCCAGGGCUCAACCCUGGAAUUGCCUUCGAUACUGAGAGUCUUGAGUUCGGAAGAGGUUGGUGGAACUGCGAGUGUAGAGGUGAAAUUCGUAGAUAUUCGCAGGAACACCAGUGGCGAAAGGCGGCCAACUGGUCCGAUACUGACGCUGAGGCGCGAAAAGCGUGGGGGAGCAAACAGGG
rnacentral:rRNA from 1 species